rnacentral:rRNA from 1 species
GCCUGACGGCUGAGCAGCACUUGGGCGAUUGUAUAACGAAUAAGUCGUAUAAAAUUCUAGAUAGAAAACUGAUAAUGACAACUAUCUAUCUAUUAGUCUUGACCAAAUUACGUGCCAGCAGUCGCGGCAACACGCAGAAGACAAGUGUUAUUCAUCUUUAAAAGGUAUAAAGGGUACCUAGACGGGGAAUCAAGCCAUAGUAGGGACUAAUUUUCUAGAGUUUUAUGGGAGAAAGUCGAAUGUCUGGAGUAGAGAUAUAAUAUUGUGAUACUAGAUGGACGGGCAACGGCGUAGGCAACUUUCUAUGUAAAAACUGACGUUGAGGGACGAAGCCCUGGGUAGCAAUAAGGAUUAGAUACCCCAGUAGUCCAGGGAGACAAUGAUGAGUGCCAUAGGCUAGAUAAAUUAGCCUAUAAAUGAAAGUGCAAGCAUUCCACCUCAAGAGUAAAGCGGCAACGCCCAAAUUGAAAUCAUUAGACCGUUCCUGAAACCAGUAGUGAAGUAUGUUGUUUAAUUCGAUGAUCCGCGAAUAACCUUACCACGUUUUGAAUACUUUUUGUAAAAGCAGGUAUGUUUUUAUUACCACAAAUUGUACAAGCGCUGCACGGCUGUCUUUAGUUAAUGUCGUGAGACUUUGGUUAACUCCUUUAAUUAACGAAAACCCUUGUUUUAUUUGCAUAUAAAACAGUUCUCCGCUAUAUUGGAUAAGAUAAUAGGGAUUACGGCAAGUCAUCAUGGCCUUAAUAGCGUGGGCUAUAGACGUGCCACAUAUGCCUUUACAAAAGGAUGCGAUAUUGUGAAAUGGAGCUAAUCCCCAAAAAAGGACAUAACUAAUUC